rnacentral:lncRNA from 1 species
GAGCCACUACAUCCAGAUGUUUUCUAGGCUGAGUCCCUGGGGGCAGAGCUUGAGUGUCAUUGCCCAUGACAGAGCUUGCAUGGGAAGAAAAGCACAUGAAUGUCUGGAUUGAAGACUGGCUCCUGUCUGGUCAGAAAAAUUAGAAUUUCAGGGAAAAUGCCGGAGAGACAAAUAGAGAAGAGGAGACAGGGAGAAAUGAGGAGGAACAAGAGAAAGAGGAGGAGGAGGAGGAGGAAGAAGAAGAGGGGGAGAAGAAGGAGAAUGUGUCUGUUUCUAGAUCCCAGUGAUGCCCGCCAUAGCCAUCCUGGGCUGGAGACUGGCAGUGGGUAUAAAAAGAACUCUGGAACCCAGGGCAGAGCUUCAGGUGACUUCACUUCCGUUUGCACCAGAAAACUCGCACUGUUCUUGCAGUUUUGCUGCUUAGAGGGAGCUAGGGUUAUCUUUGCAUGUGAAUAUGUAUGUACGCAUGCGUGUGAGUAUAAUUACCCAUCACUGAUUAAUCUUCAGACUGAGUCAAGCAUUCGCUGCAAAUCCUUGAAACAAACAAGUCUAUUUAUAUUUUAAUUUUUUUUGGAUUUCAGGUUGAUUUGUCUUUCUUCUGCAUAUUUAUGAAGUCGUUGAUCCCAUGGUAACCUUUCCCUUACCUCUUGUGGAUCAGAAGAAAGAGAGAGGGAGACAGACAAACUGGCUCUGUCCCUUACCUUCCCCAGAUGCCACAGCACUCCCUGUAGUUCUAGAGGACAGUGAGGACAGCUCGAGAACAGAGGCAGCUUUUUUCAAUUAAGGUGUAAUUAAUUAAUUGGACCCCCUGCCCAUGGCUGUCAUUCUUCUUUAAGGUGACCUCCACUCUUGCUGAGAUCUGACUUUGGUCCUGGAUUC